rfam:Oryza punctata chromosome 1, whole genome shotgun sequence.
UUUAAGUAGGACCAUCAGUUUCCGUCUUCAACUUUAAUCACCCGUCUUAUUUAAAUUUUUUUAUAAUUAGUAUUUUUAUUGUUAUUAGAUAAUAAAACAUGAAUAGUAUUUUAUGCGUGAAUUAUGUUUUUAAUUUUUUUCAAAUAAAACAAACAAUUAAAGUUGCUACGCUUAAAAUGGGACGGAGGGAGU